GCCGUUGUGGCGGAACUGGCAGACGCGCAGUGUUCAGGUCGCUGUAUGGUUUCCAUGUGCGGGUUCGAAUCCCGCCAACGGCA
rnacentral:tRNA from 1 species